GAUGAAGAACGUAGCGAAAUGCGAUAAGUAAUGUGAAUUGCAGAAUUCAGUGAAUCAUCGAAUCUUUGAACGCACAUUGCGCCCAUUAGUAUUCUAGUGGGCAUGCCUGUUCGAGCGUCAUUUCAACCCUUAAGCCUAGCUUAGUAUUGGGAAUCGACUUUACUGUCGUUCCUCAAAUUCAACGGCGGAUUUAUAGCAAUCUCUGAACGUAGUAAUUUUUUUCCUCGUUUUUGAAAUACUAUAAACCUCAGCCGCUAAACCCCCAAUUUUUUUAUGGUUGACCUCGUAUCAGGUAGGAAUACCCGCUGAACUUAAGCAUAUCAAUAAGCGGAGGA
rnacentral:misc_RNA from 1 species